CGGGGUGAGUAACGCGUGGGUAACCUGCUUAUACAGGGGGAUAACAGUUGGAAACGGCUGCUAAUACCGCAUAAGCGCACGGCAUCGCAUGAUGCAGUGUGAAAAACUCCGGUGGUAUAAGAUGGACCCGCGUUGGAUUAGCUAGUUGGUGAGGUAACGGCCCACCAAGGCGACGAUCCAUAGCCGACCUGAGAGGGUGACCGGCCACAUUGGGACUGAGACACGGCCCAA
rnacentral:rRNA from 1 species